rnacentral:lncRNA from 1 species
GGAACCUGACGAUGAGACUUGGAAAUGCUGACGAAUCUAUCGUUCAUCUGAUCUCCGAAGCGCAGUACGAGGUGCACCACGAAACAACUAAUAUUAUGCAUCCAGUGGAGAGGAAAAACGGCACACAAAUCAUCAAACCUUAUACAAGAGUGGAACCCACAAUCUCUUUUUCGGUCUGAUAUUCAUUCUUGCUAGAGAUGUCCAAGGUGUGCUGUGACGAAUUUUUCAUAUUGCGACGUCCAUCAGCGACUGAACGGUAAAACUGCUGAACACUUGUAGUUCACACCGGGUUAGAAUCCCGGCCAAAAGUUUGACUGCAGAUCUUCGCAACCAGCCGUCAAAUGCCUCCUCAAAGCGCCACUCUUAAAGUCAAGACAAUCCAGUUUUUCCAUUUACGCUUCGCGGGAAACGGAAUACUCCGGGGAAGCGUUGUCAGAGAGCUACCCCCUACUCUUCCUUCUCCAGUAUAAAGAAGUCGAGACCUACCGGAAAGAUGGAUGAAAACCUAAAAAAAUGGCACUGCUAUCCAAAGGGAAGCGUUGUCAGGUGUUGACAAGGCGUAGUGGGCUGGCUUCCCCUCUGUCACAUCCCGCCUUCCCGUCAUUCUUCAGCUGCUGUUUAGCCAAUGACAAAUCGUCUCACGAACAGUUGGCUCUCGUCGAGAUUUAAUGGGCAAAAAGGAUUUCUGAAGGAAAAAAGAAUGUAGAGGAUUUCAACUUGCAUGUAAGAGGAUUUUUCUUCAGGCAAGCAGUCUAUACCUUAAAUUAAUAUCAAGGGCAUAUGGAUUCAAGUAAAAACAUUUCUUUUCUAACUCUGCUUGGCUCUUGCUGACCACAACCCCCAUCUUCACGCUGAUGCUCACAGUUAUUCGUACCCCAAAUUGACUGGUGGCAGUUAGGUGAAGCAUAUCGUUCUCCGUUGGAAGAAGAAGUCAUGGGGUGCCUGGAACUUACAAAUUUUGCUUUGGCUGCAGUUUGUUUAUCUGGCGAGCUUGUCCUCUUUGCCCUUUUGCAUUUAAAAAAGAAACUCAGGGGAGAAAAAAGGCAGAGCUUUAAAAAUUUCUUUACUUUUCAAUCGAGUUUUGAUGUAUUUCGUUUUGAAACUUAUGAAGAAAAAUGAAAAAUCAGACCAUCAAGUUCAUAAUAGCUGACUGAGUUGUCUUCCGGUAAAAAGGAUAAGGAAAAUUUUUGGGGCGUGCAGUGAUGUGAAGGCGGAGCCGUAGGGCGUUGACGUCACUUUCACAAGCGGCGAAUGGUUGCCAUGGAAACAGAGAUACAGAACACAGCGCCCUCUCCUGGGAAGCGACCGACAUAAAAGCUUUCUUCUGUAGAGAUUUUUUACCUCUUUCUAUCUGAUUUCUUUAGUCCGUUUACUGACUCUCAUAGGGGUCGUAUGCAAAUUUAUGAAAAGUCGAAGAACUCUUAGCCAUGUAAAAGUUAUCUGUCAGAAAAUUCUGUUAAAAUUUUGAAAAAAAAAAAGAACACUUCUUUAUUGAAAUACCAUGCAUUCGAUAGGUAUUGUACAUUAAAUUAAAAUGUAUAGCCUUUGAGAAAAA